rnacentral:rRNA from 1 species
UGGGGAAUCUUGGACAAUGGGCGCAAGCCUGAUCCAGCCAUGCCGCGUGAGUGACGAAGGCCUUAGGGUUGUAAAGCUCUUUUGGCGGGGACGAUAAUGACGGUACCCGCAGAAUAAGCCCCGGCUAACUUCGUGCCAGCAGCCGCGGUAAUACGAAGGGGGCUAGCGUUGUUCGGAAUUACUGGGCGUAAAGCGCACGUAGGCGGAUUUGUCAGUCAGGGGUGAAAUCCCGAGGCUCAACCUCGGAACUGCCUCCGAUACAGCAAGUCUCGAGUCCGGAAGAGGUGAGUGGAAUUCCUAGUGUAGAGGUGAAAUUCGUAGAUAUUAGGAAGAACACCAGUGGCGAAGGCGGCUCACUGGUCCGGUACUGACGCUGAGGUGCGAAAGCGUGGGGAGCAAACAGGAUUAGAUACCCCCGUAGUCCCUGAGCGGGCUGGCAAGGCGCAU